rnacentral:rRNA from 1 species
AUUGAACGCUGGCGGCAUGCCUAACACAUGCAAGUCGAACGGGGCAGCAAUGCCUAGUGGCGGACGGGUGAGGAAUACGUAGGAAUCUGCCCUUAAGUGGGGGAUAACCAGGGGAAACCCUGACUAAUACCGCAUGAUCUCUUCGGAGCAAAGAGGGGGACCGCAAGGCCUCUCGCUUCUGGAUGAGCCUACGUCUGAUUAGCUAGUUGGUAGGGUAAAGGCCUACCAAGGCGACGAUCAGUAACUGGUCUGAGAGGAUGAUCAGUCACACCGGAACUGAGAAACGGUCCGGACUCCUCCGGGAGGCAGCAGUGGGGAAUAUUGGACAAUGGGCGCAAGCCUGAUCCAGCAAUGCCGCGUGUGUGAAGAAGGCCUUCGGGUUGUAAAGCACUUUCGGCGGGGAGGAGGAUGAGUUGGUUAAGAGCUGACUUAUUGGACGUUACCCGCAUAAGAAGCACCGGCUAACUCCGUGCCAGCAGCCGCCGUAAGAC